UAAAUCUUAUUGAGUAAUUCUAUACUUAUAUAGAACUUAUAAUGUUAAAACUAGUAACAAGAAGAAGACCUUCUCUUAAAUGCAAGUGUAUAUCAGCAAGGACCCCCCACUGAUGAUUAACACCAAUGAAAUUUUAUUAGCAACUCAACAAGAAAAACCUAAUUAAUCUUAUGUUAACCUGACACAAGAGCAUCUAAAGAAAGAUUAAAAGAAUAAGAAGGAACUCGGCAAAUAAUAGCCCCGCCUGUUUACCAAAAACAUCGCCUUUUGAAUAACCAUAAAAGGUCCAGCCUGCCCAGUGAUUUUUUAACGGCCGCGGUAUCUUAACCGCGCGAAGGUAGCAUAAUCAAUUGUUCUUUAAAUGGGGACUUGUAUGAAUGGCAUCACGAAGGCUAUACUGUCUCCUUUCUCUAAUCAGUGAAACUAAUCUCUCCGUGAAGAAGCGGGGAUAUUAAUAUAAGACGAGAAGACCCUAUGGAGCUUUAAACUAGAUAACAAGUGUUAUUAUUUUUUAACUUCCAGAACACAAACCCUUAUUACAACACUAUGAUUUUUAGUUUUAGGUUGGGGUGACCGCGGAGCAAAAACUAACCUCCACAUUGAAAGAGCAUAUUUCUGAACCAAGAGCUACAACUCUAAGCACCAACAACUUGACAUUAAUUGACCCAAUAUUUUGAUCAACGAACCAAGUUACCCUAGGGAUAACAGCGCAAUCCACUUCAAGAGAUCUUAUCAAAAAGUGGGCUUACGACCUCGAUGUUGGAUCAGGGUAUCCCAGUGGUGCAGUCGCUACUA
rnacentral:rRNA from 1 species